rnacentral:lncRNA from 1 species
UAUAGUAAAGGAGUAGGUCCGGUAAGGACUCAUUUUGGCCUCAAAUUUCAGUUUCAUCUGACGAAAGAUUUUGACCACUUUUUAAAGACUUAAGUGUCUAUUUCACUUGAUUUAAUUAGUAUAAGUGAAAUAUUUUAACUGAUUUAGUCAUUAAAAACGAUCUGAUUCAAGCUCAAAUAUGAAAAAUCUCUCAAAUAUGCCAAA